CACGCCAUAUCGAGAUUUUACCGACGAAAGUUCGGUAACAAUAAUGAAUAAGGUACACUCAUUUUGUGACCUUCUUUAUUAAAAGUGAAGUGUUACACAAUUUUGUUUGUUAGAGUUACCCCCCUUUGUACAUUGUUCCGGGUGUGUAAUUCUCUCUGGUUCAUUUUUUAUUUUGUUUACAUGAUAGGAGGCCAUUUUGGCUGAUGUUUUUGUAGUUUCUGCUUGUUCCAAGCAUUGCAUGUGCCUUGUGGGUAUACACUCCUGCACCAUAUUCUCUUACCACAUGCACGUUCAAUCAUUCACUUAAUAAAGUGACCCACUUUGACAGUGUUGAUUAUUGAAUUGGUUGACUAUCUGCACAGAGGCAGAAUAAAAAGGAACAGUUCUCUAAGGUGUAACGUGCAAUUAGUACACAAUUCAAUGAUUAUAAUGAAACAGUUUCACUUUGCAACUGGAUAAUUAUAAGAAAUUUUAUUUUGUAUUCCGAUCCCGAUCGAGAGUUGUUGACUGGGAACGACGUGUUUCAUUAAUAUACAUGUAACAUCAAGCAUUUUUUAUAUCACAUUAAAAAAACCAAAAUAUACACAUA